rnacentral:rRNA from 1 species
AGCUUGCUUUCUUUGCUGGCGACCGGCGCACGGGUGAGUAACACGUAUCCAACCUGCCCUUUACUCGGGGAUAGCCUUUCGAAAGAAAGAUUAAUACCCGAUGGCAUAAUGAUUCCGCAUGGUUUCAUUAUUAAAGGAUUCCGGUAAAGGAUGGGGAUGCGUUCCAUUAGGUUGUUGGUGAGGUAACGGCUCACCAAGCCUUCGAUGGAUAGGGGUUCUGAGAGGAAGGUCCCCCACAUUGGAACUGAGACACGGUCCAAACUCCUACGGGAGGCAGCAGUGAGGAAUAUUGGUCAAUGGGCGCUAGCCUGAACCAGCCAAGUAGCGUGAAGGAUGAAGGCUCUAUGGGUCGUAAACUUCUUUUAUAUAAGAAUAAAGUGCAGUAUGUAUACUGUUUUGUAUGUAUUAUAUGAAUAAGGAUCGGCUAACUCCGUGCCAGCAGCCGCGGUAAUACGGAGGAUCCGAGCGUUAUCCGGAUUUAUUGGGUUUAAAGGGAGCGUAGGUGGACUGGUAAGUCAGUUGUGAAAGUUUGCGGCUCAACCGUAAAAUUGCAGUUGAUACUGUCAGUCUUGAGUACAGUAGAGGUGGGCGGAAUUCGUGGUGUAGCGGUGAAAUGCUUAGAUAUCACGAAGAACUCCGAUUGCGAAGGCAGCUCACUGGACUGCAACUGACGCUGAUGCUCGAAAGUGUGGGUAUCAAACAGGAUUAGAUACCCUGGUAGUCCACACAGUAAACGAUGAAUACUCGCUGUUUGCGAUAUACAGUAAGCGGCCAAGCGAAAGCAUUAAGUAUUCCACCUGGGGAGUACGCCGGCAACGGUGAAACUCAAAGGAAUUGACGGGGGCCCGCACAAGCGGAGGAACAUGUGGUUUAAUUCGAUGAUACGCGAGGAACCUUACCCGGGCUUAAAUUGCAGUGGAAUGAUGUGGAAACAUGUCAGUGAGCAAUCACCGCUGUGAAGGUGCUGCAUGGUUGUCGUCAGCUCGUGCCGUGAGGUGUCGGCUUAAGUGCCAUAACGAGCGCAACCCUUAUCUUCAGUUACUAACAGGUCAUGCUGAGGACUCUGGAGAGACUGCCGUCGUAAGAUGUGAGGAAGGUGGGGAUGACGUCAAAUCAGCACGGCCCUUACGUCCGGGGCUACACACGUGUUACAAUGGGGGGUACAGAAGGCAGCUAGCGGGUGACCGUAUGCUAAUCCCAAAAUCCUCUCUCAGUUCGGAUCGAAGUCUGCAACCCGACUUCGUGAAGCUGGAUUCGCUAGUAAUCGCGCAUCAGCCACGGCGCGGUGAAUACGUUCCCGGGCCUUGUACACACCGCCCGUCAAGCCAUGGGAGCCGGGGGUACCUGAAGUACGUAACCGCAAGGAUCGUCCUAGGGUAAAACUGGUGACUGGGGCUAAGUCGUAACAAGGUA